ACUACGGGGCGCUGCAGUGGGGAAUAUUGCACAAUGGGGGAAACCCUGAUGCAGCGACGCCGCGUGAGUGAAGAAGUAAUUCGUUACGUAAAGCUCUAUCAGCAGGGAAGAAAAUGACUGUACCUGAGUAAUAAGCCCCGGCUAACUACGUGCCAGCAGCCGCGGUCAUACGUAGGGGGCAAGCGUUAUCCGGAUUUACUGGGUGUAAAGGGAGCGUAGACGGUGUGCCAAGUCUGGAGUGAAAGGCCGCAGCUUAACUGCGGAACUGCUUUGGAAGCUGGCGAACUAGAGUGCGGGAGGGGUAAGCGGAAUUCCUAGUGUAGCGGUGAAAUGCGUAGAUAUUAGGAGGAACACCGGUGGCGAAGGCGGCUUACUGGACCGUAACUGACGUUGAGGCUCGAAAGCGUGGGGAGCAAACAGGAUUAGAUACCCCAGUAGUC
rnacentral:rRNA from 1 species